GUGGGGAAUAUUGGACAAUGGGCGAAAGCCUGAUCCAGCCAUGCCGCGUGUGUGAAGAAGGUCUUCGGAUUGUAAAGCACUUUAAGUUGGGAGGAAGGGCAGUAAGCUAAUACCUUGCUGUUUUGACGUUACCGACAGAAUAAGCACCGGCUAACUCUGUGCCAGCAGCCGCGGUAAUACAGAGGGUGCAAGCGUUAAUCGGAAUUACUGGGCGUAAAGCGCGCGUAGGUGGUUUGUUAAGUUGGAUGUGAAAGCCCCGGGCUCAACCUGGGAACUGCAUCCAAAACUGGCAAGCUAGAGUACGGUAGAGGGUGGUGGAAUUUCCUGUGUAGCGGUGAAAUGCGUAGAUAUAGGAAGGAACACCAGUGGCGAAGGCGACCACCUGGACUGAUACUGACACUGAGGUGCGAAAGCGUGGGGAGCAA
rnacentral:rRNA from 1 species